UACGUAGGGGGCGAGCGUUGUCCGGAAUUACUGGGCGUAAAGGGAGCGUAGGCGGCUGUUUAAGUUGGAUGUGAAAUACCCGGGCUUAACUUGGGGGGUGCAUUCAAAACUGGGCAGCUAGAGUGCAGGAGAGGGAAGCGGAAUUCCUAGUGUAGCGGUGAAAUGCGUAGAUAUUAGGAGGAACACCAGUGGCGAAGGCGGCUUUCUGGACUGUAACUGACGCUGAUGCUCGAAAGCGUGGGGAGCAAACAG
rnacentral:rRNA from 1 species